rnacentral:rRNA from 1 species
ACACAUGCAGUCGAGCGGAGAUGAGGUGCUUGCACCUUAUCUUAGCGGCGGACGGGUGAGUAAUGCUUAGGAAUCUGCCUAUUAGUGGGGGACAACAUUCCGAAAGGAAUGCUAAUACCGCAUACGUCCUACGGGAGAAAGCAGGGGAUCUUCGGACCUUGCGCUAAUAGAUGAGCCUAAGUCGGAUUAGCUAGUUGGUGGGGUAAAGGCCUACCAAGGCGACGAUCUGUAGCGGGUCUGAGAGGAUGAUCCGCCACACUGGGACUGAGACACGGCCCAGACUCCUACGGGAGGCAGCAGUGGGGAAUAUUGGACAAUGGGGGGAACCCUGAUCCAGCCAUGCCGCGUGUGUGAAGAAGGCCUUAUGGUUGUAAAGCACUUUAAGCGAGGAGGAGGCUACUGAGACUAAUACUCUUGGAUAGUGGACGUUACUCGCAGAAUAAGCACCGGCUAACUCUGUGCCAGCAGCCGCGGUAAUACAGAGGGUGCGAGCGUUAAUCGGAUUUACUGGGCGUAAAGCGUGCGUAGGCGGCUUUUUAAGUCGAAUGUGAUAUCCCCGAGCUUAACUUGGGAAUUGCAUUCGAUACUGGGAAGCUAGAGUAUGGGAGAGGAUGGUAGAAUUCCAGGUGUAGCGGUGAAAUGCGUAGAGAUCUGGAGGAAUACCGAUGGCGAACGCAGCCAUCUGGCCUAAUACUGACGCUGAGGUACGAAAGCAUGGGGAGCAAACAGGAUUAGAUACCCUGGUAGUCCAUGCCGUAACGAUGUCUACUAACCGUUGGGGCCUUUGAGGCUUUAGUGGCGCAGCUAACGCG